rnacentral:rRNA from 1 species
UACGUAGGGUGCGAGCGUUAAUCGGAAUUACUGGGCGUAAAGCGUGCGCAGGCGGUUCGUUGUGUCGGCGGUGAAAGCCCCGGGCUCAACCUGGGAAUGGCCGUUGAAACUGGCGAACUGGAGUGUGGCAGAGGGGGGUGGAAUUCCGCGUGUAGCAGUGAAAUGCGUAGAGAUGCGGAGGAACACCGACGGCGAAGGCAGCGCCCUGGCCGCCAUCUGACGCUCAGGCACGAAAGCUGGGGGAGCGAACAGG